UACGUAGGGUCCGAGCGUUGUCCGGAUUUAUUGGGCGUAAAGAGCUCGUAGGCGGUUCCGUAAGUCAGAUGUGAAAACUCAGGGCUCAACCCGGAGACGCCAUCUGAUACUGCGGUGACUGGAGUCUGGUAGGGGAACACGGAAUUCCUGGUGUAGCGGUGAAAUGCGCAGAUAUCAGGAGGAACACCGGUGGCGAAGGCGGGUCUCUGGGCCGUAACUGACGCUGAGGAGCGAAAGCGUGGGGAGCGAACAGG
rnacentral:rRNA from 1 species